rnacentral:rRNA from 1 species
CCUACGGGGGGCUGCAGUGGGGAAUAUUGCACAAUGGGCGCAAGCCUGAUGCAGCCAUGCCGCGUGUGUGAAGAAGGCCUUCGGGUUGUAAAGCACUUUCAGCGGGGAGGAAGGCGGUGAGGUUAAUAACCUCAUCGAUUGACGUUACCCGCAGAAGAAGCACCGGCUAACUCCGUGCCUGCAGCCGCGGUAAUACGGAGGGUGCAAGCGUUAAUCGGAAUUACUGGGCGUAAAGCGCACGCAGGCGGUCUGUCAAGUCGGAUGUGAAAUCCCCGGGCUCAACCUGGGAACUGCAUUCGAAACUGGCAGGCUAGAGUCUUGUAGAGGGGGGUAGAAUUCCAGGUGUAGCGGUGAAAUGCGUAGAGAUCUGGAGGAAUACCGGUGGCGAAGGCGGCCCCCUGGACAAAGACUGACGCUCAGGUGCGAAAGCGUGGGGAGCAAACAGGAUUAGAUACCCCAGUAGUC